ACGCUCGACACCUACGGGAAGCAGCAGUGGGGAAUAUUGCACAAUGGGGGAAACCCUGAUGCAGCAACGCCGCGUGAAGGAAGACGGUUUUCGGAUUGUAAACUUCUGUUCUUAGUGAAGAUAGUGACGGUAGCUAAGGAGCAAGCCACGGCUAACUACGCGCCAGCAGCCGCGGUAAUCUGAGCGGGCUGGCAAGGC
rnacentral:rRNA from 1 species